rnacentral:rRNA from 1 species
AGAGUUUGAUCCUGGCUCAGGACGAACGCUGGCGGCGUGCCUAAUACAUGCAAGUAGAACGCUGAAGAGAGGAGCUUGCUCUUCUUGGAUGAGUUGCGAACGGGUGAGUAACGCGUAGGUAACCUGCCUUGUAGCGGGGGAUAACUAUUGGAAACGAUAGCUAAUACCGCAUAACAAUGGAUGACACAUGUCAUUUAUUUGAAAGGGGCAAUUGUUCCACUACAAGAUGGACCUGCGUUGUAUUAGCUAGUAGGUGAGGUAAUGGCUCACCUAGGCGACGAUACAUAGCCGACCUGAGAGGGUGAUCGGCCACACUGGGACUGAGACACGGCCCAGACUCCUACGGGAGGCAGCAGUAGGGAAUCUUCGGCAAUGGGGGCAACCCUGACCGAGCAACGCCGCGUGAGUGAAGAAGGUUUUCGGAUCGUAAAGCUCUGUUGUAAGUCAAGAACGGGUGUGAGAGUGGAAAGUUCACACUGUGACGGUAGCUUACCAGAAAGGGACGGCUAACUACGUGCCAGCAGCCGCGGUAAUACGUAGGUCCCGAGCGUUGUCCGGAUUUAUUGGGCGUAAAGCGAGCGCAGGCGGUUUGAUAAGUCUGAAGUUAAAGGCUGUGGCUCAACCAUAGUUCGCCUUGGAAACUGUCAAACUUGAGUGCAGAAGGGGAGAGUGGAAUUCCAUGUGUAGCGGUGAAAUGCGUAGAUAUAUGGAGGAACACCGGUGGCGAAAGCGGCUCUCUGGUCUGUAACUGACGCUGAGGCUCGAAAGCGUGGGGAGCGAACAGGAUUAGAUACCCUGGUAGUCCACGCCGUAAACGAUGAGUGCUAGGUGUUGGAUCCUUUCCGGGAUUCAGUGCCGCAGCUAACGCAUUAAGCACUCCGCCUGGGGAGUACGACCGCAAGGUUGAAACUCAAAGGAAUUGACGGGGGCCCGCACAAGCGGUGGAGCAUGUGGUUUAAUUCGAAGCAACGCGAAGAACCUUACCAGGUCUUGACAUCCCGAUGCUAUUUCUAGAGAUAGAAAGUUACUUCGGUACAUCGGUGACAGGUGGUGCAUGGUUGUCGUCAGCUCGUGUCGUGAGAUGUUGGGUUAAGUCCCGCGACGAGCGCAACCCCUAUUGUUAGUUGCCAUCAUUCAGUUGGGCACUCUAGCGAGACUGCCGGUAAUAAACCGGAGGAAGGUGAGGAUGACGUCAAAUCAUCAUGCCCCUUAUGACCUGGGCUACACACGUGCUACAAUGGUUGGUACAACGAGUUGCGAGUCGGUGACGGCGAGCUAAUCUCUUAAAGCCAAUCUCAGUUCGGAUUGUAGGCUGCAACUCGCCUACAUGAAGUCGGAAUCGCUAGUAAUCGCGGAUCAGCACGCCGCGGUGAAUACGUUCCCGGGCCUUGUACACACCGCCCGUCACACCACGAGAGUUUGUAACACCCGAAGUCGGUGAGGUAACCUUUUGGAGCCAGCCGCCUAAGGUGGGACAGAUGAUUGGGGUGAAGUCGGAACAAGGUA